rnacentral:rRNA from 1 species
AUUGAACGCUGGCGGCAGGCCUAACACAUGCAAGUCGAACGGUAACAGGAAGAAGCUUGCUUCUUUGCUGACGAGUGGCGGACGGGUGAGUAAUGUCUGGGCAACUGCCUGAUGGAGGGGGAUAACUACUGGCAACGGUAGCUAAUACCGCAUAACGUCGCAAGACCAAAGAGGGGGACCUUCGGGCCUCUUGCCAUCGGAUGUGCCCAGAUGGGAUUCGCUAGUAGGUGGGGUAACGUCUCACCUAGGCGACGAUCCCUAGCUGGUCUGAGAGGAUGACCAGCCACACUGGAACUGAGACACGGUCCAGACUCCUACGGGAGGCAGCAGUGGGGAAUAUUGCACAAUGGGCGCAAGCCUGAUGCAGCCAUGCCGCGUGUAUGAAGAAGGCCGUCGGGUUGUAAAGUACUUUCAGCGGGGAGGAAGGGAGUAAAGUUAAUACCUUGGCUCAUUGACGUUACCCGCAGAAGAAGCACCGGCUAACUCCGUG